GACAGAGGGGGCAAGCGUUGCUCGGAAUCACUGGGCGUAAAGGGCGCGUAGGCGGGAUGGCAAGUCAGUCGUGAAAUCUCUCGGCUCAACCGAGAAACGUCGGCUGAUACUGCCGUUCUUGAGGGAUGCAGAGGAGACUGGAAUUCCCGGUGUAGCGGUGAAAUGUGUAGAGAUCGGGAGGAACACCGGUGGCGAAGGCGGGUCUCUGGGACGUUACUGACGCUGAGACGCGAAAGCGUGGGGAGCAAACAGG
rnacentral:rRNA from 1 species